AUACUCAGCUGGCAGGAGAGAUACCAUGAUCACGAAGGUGAUUUCUCCAGGGCGAGGUUCAUCCAUUUCACCUGGAUGUGCUGACCCCUGUGAUUUCCUCACAAGUGGGAAACUCGACUGCAUAAUUUGUGCUAGUGGGGGACUAUGUCUGUGCUUUCCUCUG